GAGGACACCGUUACGGUUACAAGUGUGACAUAUGGAGUAUGGGUAUCAUCCUCUAUGAGAUGCUGACAUUAAAGUUUCCAUUUGCAUCUAAUAGUCACGUUGGCAUGAUUGCACGCCAUUUUAUUUAAAAGAUGUUUAAUUCUAUGAUUAAAUGAUAAAAAGGCAUAUAAGUUUUAAGAAAUCAAAAGAAAAGAAUUAACGAUAUACAUGGCGGGCUCCGUCGAUCUCUUUUUAUUUCAGUUCUGUUAUCCGUUUCAUCAAUGAAUAUCUUCUUAAUAGUAACAUUAAGACGUGUAAUCAGUAAAUACGUGUCGUUUUCUAUCAAUAAAUAUCAAUUGUCAGUUCA